rnacentral:rRNA from 1 species
CACGUAGGAGGCGAGCGUUAUCCGGAUUUACUGGGCGUAAAGCGCGUGUAGGCGGUUUGGCAAGUUGGAUGUGAAAUCUCCUGGCUCAACUAGGAGAGGUCGUUCAAUACUGCCAGACUAGAGGACGGUAGAGGAAGGUAGAAUUCCCGGUGUAGUGGUGAAAUGCGUAGAUAUCGGGAGGAAUACCAGUGGCGAAGGCGGCCUUCUGGGCCGUUCCUGACGCUCAGACGCGAAAGCGUGGGUAGCGAACGGG